AGAUCAGCAAGGUGAAAGGAAUGCCUUGGGAGUUGGGAAUUGGUAGAGAUGUCUAACAGGGGGGUUGAGUUGAAGAAGACACAGUUUUGCAGAGUUAAUGCUAAACUGGGAGGGGUUAAUGGUGGAUCAAUGGUAACAGUCUGUACUGAACAAAGCAAUGGCCAUUGGGGGCACAACCAGUUCCAAGGAUAGCAGCAGGAUCAGGGAUUCUGGUGACAACAGGUACUGACGGAGAUGCUAACAUAGAUUUGAAGAAGGCACACAGGGUGCAGGACCUCAUUACUGAAUGGGAUCGACUGAUUAUAGACAGCUGGUAGGUUCCAUUGUUAGUCUGCAGCAAUUGAGUGACAGAGCUGAACUUGGGGAGCGAACAGACUGGCUGGGUAUUGGGCAAUUGCUGCAGUGGCUGUUACAGAGGUAUUGUCUUGUUCCAGGUAUCCUCAGAAGCAGGUACAAAGGAUUAAGCAGCAGUUGAGUCUCUAGUUGUGAGUUAUACAUGGUUAUUGUAAGUUCUGCUGAUUGUCCUAGGGUCAGUCAGUAGCUACUUAUCAAAUUAAUUAUUCGACAUUGAUGUUUCUCCAUUGUUAGGGUCACAAUUUUCGCCCAAAAAAAUCUGAUAAUGCUAUCAAACUAUGAUGAUGUGCAUAUUAUGACAUAUCAUUGACUUAUCAGGAAGAAGAUAUAAUUUUUAGCCUCAC
rnacentral:lncRNA from 1 species